rnacentral:lncRNA from 10 species
UGCACAUAGGUAUGGGGGCCUGCACUGCCCCCCGCCAUGCUUGGGGCCCCCAGCAGCUGUAUUGCCUGUUAAAAGUUCCUGAGCCCACCUGCCUGGGCUCUAUCGGCAUCCCUGCCCCUGCCAUGGUCCUGCCCCCUGGUGUACCUGCUGCCUUCUCCCCAGCUCUAUGGGUGGGCAGGGAGCUGGGCCUGGCCAGGAGGACACUCCUGGGGGAGCUUCCUAGAGCUACCCACAGGCUAGGGAGAGGUCUCCAGGGCUUGUCUGGGCCACUGCCCAGCCUUGGAGCAGGACGCUCCUUCCCUUGGCAGCCACUUGCUGCCUCCCUCCUUUCCCCUCAAGGUCUCUGACCGGUCAGGUUCUUUCGAAGACAAUUCAGAGGAAGAUUAUGUGCAGGAAGUUUGCUGAGAAGAACACCUGUGGAGAGUGACGCAGGCAGGACUGGACAGACAGAGGGGCUGGGCUGCCCUGUGGUCACAGCAAAGGCCUCAGCCACCCCGGGGAGGACAGAGGAGGGGAGGAGGCCCUGCAGCCUGUCCCACAUGGGGCAAGGGGAUCUGCCUUCACACUGGUGCAUUUACCAGCCGCUGGAUGCUGGCUGUCCCCCGAAAAUGCUGCAACCUCAAAGGAAGAGACCAAGGAUAACCACGAGGAAGAGGAGCUCAGCUUGGCGCAGUCAGCCAUUCACGUCCCCCCGUGGCUGGAGAGUGGGCACUGGGGUCCUGAAGGGAGUCUCCAGGUGAUGCCAACGCUUCUGGGCCACAGGGCAAGGGGCUGGUCUAGCCAGACCUGCGGCUUCCCAGGUGGACACCCCAGAGGACUGCAAUACAGACAGCCUGGCUAGAGGGACGAUUGUCCAGGCCUCGUCUCACAGAUGAAAUGGACAGCAGCUGUGGCACGCCAAGCACCUACAAUGCUACCAUCACCAGCUGGGUUCUGGAGCGAGAACACACAGGCCCGGCCCAGAUGCCACCUCCUCUCCGGAGCCUACUCUGAGCCUUCCAGCCUAGGUCUCCCACCUUCCCCGCGCUGCCCGAAGCCAGCUCAGAAACGACAUCCAUGGAAGAAACCCACCAUGCCCUGUGGCUGAUCUGGCCUCUUUCUCCAAACACACUGGGAGCUCCUUAAGGGCAGUGCGGCCCUCGUCCUGGCUCCUGUGAAGAGCCCUUGGCAACUCCCUCUUCCUGUUUCAUAGGAGGAGCCUCACAACUCCAGCACUUCCGCACCCAGCCUCCUGGCCCUAAGCACGGAGAGCCGGAGAGCCGCUGCCUCAUUCCCCUUCACGGCCCUUAGCCCCCCUGGCUCUACAUAUUUUAGCUGUUUUUUGGUUUAUUGUCUAUUUCUCCUGACUAGAAUGUAAACUCUGUCAGGGUGACUGUUUUUGUCUGUUUUCUUCUCUACUGUAUGCCCAGCAUCUGGAACAGUGCCCAGCACAGAGUAGGUGCUUAGUAAAUGUUGGUUACACACAGCUCUUUACAGAGUGAAUUAUGCAGUAGAGUUUUUUCUUGCCUUGAUCCACACACAUGCAGCAACCGAAGGGAGGUGAUUUGUUCUGCACUGGAAAGGGCAGGGGAGAAGGGAGGUCUUUCAUACCACUUUGAGGUCUCAUCCCCUUUCCUAGAAAAUCUGGAAACUGAUAGCAUCUCUCCAUAGAAUUCUCUUUAUCCAGAGCAUAGGCCCUCAGAGAGCUCCAAGAACAAAUAUUUUUUUGCUCACAUCUUUUUUGGAAAACAUUCAGAGAACACCCUGCCUUUUUGAGAGGAGAGAAGUACAGUGACUCCCCCAGUGUCACCACUCAGCAAGUCAGUGGCCCAGCCAGAGCCACCUCCGGCGCCAGGCCAGGGCACUGGCCAUGCCCACACUGGCUGUCUCUGCCACCCACUGAGGCUGAGAGAGGCAAAAGACCAGGAAAGGGGCUGACUUUGGAGUUUUGAUCCAAAACUGGGGCUGGGGCUCUGGGGAAGGCCCCAGGCCUAGGAGCUUCUGCACAAAUAGAGCUGGUUCUCAGGCUGGAAACCAGACCACCUGGGCCAGCGCUGUCACCUGGAGCCUUGUGAGAGCACCACCUCCUGGGAUCCAAGCAUGGGGUUCAGUAGGAAUCUGCAUUCCUAACACAAGCUGAUGCUGCCAGGAGGAGGACCAGCUUUGAGAACCACUGGCUUAGAGAAAACAUUCCCAGCUCUUCCUAGGCUCACGCUGGGGAAUUCGACUGGGAAUUAAGCUGUGUGAGGGACC